rnacentral:rRNA from 1 species
GAUUGAUGGCUCAGUGAGGCUUCCGGACUGGCCCAGGGAGGUCGGCAACGACCACCCAGGGCCGGAAAGCUAUCCAAACUCGGUCAUUUAGAGGAAGUAAAAGUCGUAACAAGGUCUCCGUUGGUGAACCAGCGGAGGGAUCAUUACAGAGUUAUCUAACUCCCAAACCCAUGUGAACUUACCAUUGUUGCCUCGGCAGAAACCACCCUGUACGUACCCUGGAACUACCUACCCUGUAGCGACCUACCCUGUAGCGAGUUACCCUGUAGCGAGUUCCUCGGGACCGUCCUCGGCAGGCGCCUGUCGGCGGACUUCUAAACUCUUGUUAUUUAUAGUAAUCUGAGCGUCUUAUUUUAAUAAGUCAAAACUUUCAACAACGGAUCUCUUGGUUCUGGCAUCGAUGAAGAACGCAGCGAAAUGCGAUACGUAAUGUGAAUUGCAGAAUUCAGUGAAUCAUCGAAUCUUUGAACGCACAUUGCGCCCAUUAGUACUCUAGUGGGCAUGCCUGUUCGAGCGUCAUUUCAACCCUUAAGCCUAGCUUAGUGUUGGCCGCCUACUGUAUUGUAGUGGCCCAAAUCCAACGGCGGAUCUGUGGUAUCCUCUGAGCGUAGUAAUUUUUAUCUCGCUUUUGUCAGGUGCUGCAGCUCCCAGCCGCUAAACCCCCCAAUUUUUAAUGGUUGACCUCGGAUCAGGUAGGAAUACCC